GCCUGCGCAGAAGAGUCACGUGGGUGCUAGUUCCAGACUGAAUUUGUCAGAUGGAGAUUAGGUUUAGUUCCCUAAUUGUUGUAUUUUAGCCAGGUAUGAUAGUACAAAGCAAAUGGCGCCUGGGCAGAUGGCUUGGAGAUAUGUAUAUAUGGAAAUCAGACCUUUACAACGCCUGUAUCAGGAAUAUCAUCCCGGUGGUUACAGCCUGCCACUGAAUAGGACAAGCUCUCAGGCAACCAGAGCUCAUAAGAAUUCCGUUGUUGUUCAAGGGUAGGACUACACGGACAUUUUCAGCGCGAUCCGUCGGACUGCGACAAAACGCAUGCAAUGGAAAUAAGAUUCGGAUGUUGUACUGAGAUUCUGGUGUGUUUGACCUGGCCUGUGACCUCGACCAUUCCUACGUCUCCUGCAUCUGUACCGUAGUGACUGUUUGUUACUGACCCAGCCUGGCUUUUUUGACUAAGUUUCCCAUUCUACAACACUAUGCUUGGUUCCCUUGCUCAUUUAGAACUCUCUCCUUGGUUCUCCCACAAUAAGACCUUGUGGCAUCUGAGUAGCGGAGGGCUCCACCCAAAGCCAA